UACGUAGGGUGCAAGCGUUAAUCGGAAUUACUGGGCGUAAAGCGUGCGCAGGCGGUUUUGCAAGACAGAUGUGAAAUCCCCGGGCUUAACCUGGGAACUGCAUUUGUGACUGCAAGGCUAGAGUGUGUCAGAGGGAGGUGGAAUUCCGCGUGUAGCAGUGAAAUGCGUAGAGAUGCGGAGGAACACCGAUGGCGAAGGCAGCCUCCUGGGAUAACACUGACGCUCAUGCACGAAAGCGUGGGGAGCAAACAAG
rnacentral:rRNA from 1 species